CCUACGGGCGACUGCAGUGAGGAAUAUUGGUCAAUGGCCGGGAGGCUGAACCAGCCAAGUAGCGUGCGGGAAGACGGCCCUACGGGUUGUAAACCUCUUUUGUUAGGGAGUAAGGUGCAGGUCGGGACCUGCUGUGUGAGUAUCCGAACAAAAAGCAUAGGCUAAAACUGUGUCCGCAGCCGCGGUAAUAUGGAGAAUGCGCGGGUUAUCCGGAUUUUUUGGGUUAAAAGGGUGCGCAGGCGGCGGCACAGGUCAGAGGUAAAAACGUGGGGCUCAACACCGCUCCGCCGUUGAAACUGUGGCCCUUGAGUGCGCGAAGGGUAGGCGGAAUGCGUGGUGUAGCGGUGAAAUGCAUAGAUAUCACGCAGAACUCCGAUCGCGAAGGCA
rnacentral:rRNA from 1 species